UACGGAGGUGGCAAGCGUUGUUCGGAAUUACUGGGCGUAAAGGGCGCGUAGGCGGCAAGGCAAGUCAGGUGUGAAAGCCCCGAGCUUAACUCGGGAAUUGCAUCUGAAACUGCUGUGCUUGAGUUCUGGAGGGGGUAGUGGAAUUCCCAGUGUAGCGGUGAAAUGCGUAGAGAUUGGGAGGAACACCUGCGGCGAAGGCGGCUACCUGGACAGAAACUGACGCUGAGGCGCGAAAGCUAGGGGAGCGAACGGG
rnacentral:rRNA from 1 species